CUAUGAAGGGUAAAGUCGUAACAAGGUCUCCGUAGGUGAACCUGCGGAGGGAUCAUUAC
rnacentral:rRNA from 1 species